CGCGUAGGCGGACAGUUUAGUCAGAGGUGAAAGCCCAGGGCUCAACCUCGGAAUUGCCUUUGAUACUGGCUGUCUUGAGUUCGGGAGAGGUGAGUGGAAUGCCGAGUGUAGAGGUGAAAUUCGUAGAUAUUCGGCGGAACACCAGUGGCGAAGGCGACUCACUGGCCCGAUACUGACGCUGAGGCGCGAAAGCGUGGGGAGCAAACA
rnacentral:rRNA from 1 species